GGGGCAUAUAUAUGUGCACGCUUGUCUCAUCUUUGUUAUUUUCCCCCCAACUUGUGCACAUUUUGUAGACCCUGGAGUUUUUAUGGAUUUUUUUUUUAAAUCCGAGUCAGGACUGCUGGUCAGCCAGCUUUGCCUUGCAUCUCCAGGUCUAUGUCCCUCUUGAAACAUGUUUAGAAUGUAUCUAAAAGAAAUGAAAUAUACAACUUUCAGCAACGGAUCUCUUGGCUCUCGCAUCGAUGAAGAACGCAGCGAAAUGCGAUAAGUAAUGUGAAUUGCAGAAUUCAGUGAAUCAUCGAAUCUUUGAACGCACCUUGCGCUCCUUGGUAUUCCGAGGAGCAUGCCUGUUUGAGUGUCAUUUAACUUCUCAACCACAUCAGAUAUUGAUUGUGGCUUGGAUGUGGGGGGAAUUUGUUUGCAGGCUUUCUUUAUAGAAGGUCAGCUCCCCUGAAAUGUAUUAGUGGUAUCUGAGGCUACUAUAGGUGUGAUAAUUAUCUAUGCCUUUUGGUAUAUGCCACAUGAACAGAUUACACUGCUUCUAACAAGACAAUUUUGAUGAAUUUGACCUCAAAUCAGGUAGGACUACCCGCUGAACUUAAGCAUAUCAA
rnacentral:rRNA from 1 species